rnacentral:rRNA from 1 species
CCUACGGGCGGCAGCAGUAGGGAAUUUUCGUCAAUGGGCGCAAGCCUGAACGAGCAAUGCCGCGUGAACGAGGAAGGUCUUCGGAUCGUAAAGUUCUGUUGAAGGGGAAAAAGAGCGGAGAGAGGAAAUGAACUCCGAUUGUUAUUACCCUUCGAGGAAGUCACGGCUAACUACGUGCCAGCAGCCGCGGUAAUACGUAGGUGGCGAGCGUUAUCCGGAAUGAGUGGGCGUAAAGGGUGCGUAGGCGGCCUGCUAAGUCGGGAGGGAAAGGUACCGGGUCAACCGGUACAGGCUCUGGAAACUGGCGGUCUAGAGAGGAGGAGAGGGCGGGGGAACUCCAUGUGUAGCGGGAAAAUGCGUAGAUAUAUGGAAGAACACCAGUGGCGAAGGCGGCCGCCUGGCCUGUUGACUGACGCUGAGGCACGAAAGCGUGGGGAGCAAAUAGGAUUAGAUACCCCUGUAGUC